GUGAAUCAUCAAAUUUUUGAACGCAAAUUGCACUCUCUUCGGAGAGUAUGCCUGUUUGAGGGUCAGUAUUAAUAAAAAUCGGCGUGUUGUUUUUUUGUGACGCUACGGAGUUUGGGUCAUCUUAAUAUAUCCUUUAGGUUUUAAGAGGCUUAAAAUUGACUUUUUUUGCGCAUUUUAUUAGAUGUACAUAAAUUUUUUUUUUUAUUCGUCUGUCUUAAUGUUCAAAAUCCUAUUAGAUGUGUCUAUAUCGCGUGGUUGUGU
rnacentral:misc_RNA from 1 species